UCCAUGCGCGGCUGACGAGGUGGUAUUCUCCAGAGGUGGUCUGCUCGUGCUCUCCUGGUCCUCCCGAAACGACGAGGGGUAGUGCCGGUCGUGGCUCAGCAGGAUAGCAUAAGCUUGCCCUUGUUCUUUUGUGUUUGAAUCAGAUUUGCUGGUUCUCGUUUUACAUACAACUAUCAAUCUUUCUUCUGUAUGCAGGUUACACACCUGAUGAUGUUUACGGCGAGGCGCGGGAACAAGCAGAGGCCGAGGAAGUGUGGGCACACACGAGGAAGGUUCAGCAGGCUGCAGAAGUCGGGCGACGCCCGGAGCGCCGCGCCAACACAUGUGUGCGUGGUCGGUGGGUUGGCCAAGAUCUGCAUUCUACACAUCUUCAAGUAUUGUAGUAGUAUGCUAAUUAGGCUUAAGGCAUCUGCGAAUGUGACCGACAGGUGGAAUACUAGAAUGCCUACAUAGGGAGCACACUGGAUGGGUUAAGAUCGAUGAGUCAAACAAGAACAAUACUUCUCUUAAUCAGUUGAGGGGCAGAGUUGUGGUCUUUGAUUGUGAAGAUGAUUGCAACCAAAACUGAGCUACAUGGAUCUCCACUGCAGGGUCUUGACAUUCUGAAAGCAAGGCACUAACUGAACUUCUGUUUUUCAUCCUUAUAUAUCUGCAGUAAAAAAUAGCAGUUCUAGGUUUGUAUUUGGGUCUGGUUGAAUAACUCAUAUCAGGCGGCAUGGAGCUAAUUUGACUCCUAAAGCCAGUAAGAGGGUUCCUUGGAUGGUCAAUAAGGGGAUGAUGCCAAUUAGUCUGGAUUCUGGAACAAUGCUAACAUUCAAAUCCUUGAACUUGUUGGUGCAUCCGUGCUUUGAGAAAAAAACAGUUAGGUAUGCUUCUCAGUUCUCACUACCUCCGCGUGAAAACCAAAAUUAGAAAUCCUUAUUUGUUAUUUCCAACUAUAUUUUGUGGCUGCUUGGACAAUAUUUCCGUUGCUAACUUCCUUCCUUUGAAUGACUUGCCAAUGAUCUUUCACAAUUUAUAGCGUUUUACUUUAUUUCUGUAACUGAUAUCAUUUAAAUUCAGUUUGUUUUAAAGGUUCACCAUGUUUCUUUAACAAAAUUUAUCCAGUGAAUUGGUAUGUCUGCUCCACUGGGCAGCAGCUGCAACCUUUCAACUUUGGCUCUUGCACCAUUGUUUCAUAUGUGUAUGCUCUAUUUUCCUGUCAAGUCAUUUGGUCUUUAUAUUCAGCUUGUGUUUGUCAAGAGCUUAUUCGGUCAAACGUUAUAAGAGAUAUGACAUUGCCGCUGUUGCGCUAAGGGAUACGGGGUCAUGAAAAAUCAAGGUUUGUUCGUGUUUCCCACCAAUUGUUUUGUUAUACACCCUGUUCUUACUACUUGCAUGUGACAGCCCGAGCAGCAGGCAAAAUUCUAUUUCUUCUUCUAGAUUGCUAUACCAUUGUGCAAGAAUCAGAAUACCAAUGCAAAUGUGCCUUUUCAGUCCAUAUUUAACAAUGACAAAAAAUUAUUUUCCUUUUGUUUCCGUUUCACUUGUGUCUGCACCGGAGAAUGUUCAUCCUUGCCUUCCAUCACCGGAGAAUAUUCAUCCUUACCUUCCAUCACUUGCGCUACUGUAACAAUGCUAAUUUCUCUGCCAUCUAAUUGCUCCAUACACUUAGUUUGUUUAUAUCUAGAGUUCACAUAGGGGUUAGUAAACAAAUAGUCUUUUUUAAUCAAACGGCCAUGCAGGUUUGAGCAAGCUCAAAGUAGGCUGGGGGAUGACCAAUGAUUAUGCUGGUCAAAGCCAUAUUUUUUAUGCAGGUCCUAGCAAGCUCAUCGCCCACAUAAAAUAUUCCUUGAUGGUGGUCCAUAUUUUUUGUGCAUAUUUAGCUCGGUAUUCGCCCAAACACUUUAACUUGCAUAUCAUAAGAAAGAAAAUGUACAUUUUUUA